rnacentral:rRNA from 1 species
AGGACGAACGCUGGCGGCGUGCUUAACACAUGCAAGUCGAGCGAGGCCCUUCCUUCGGGAAGGAGCCCUAGCGGCGAACGGGUGAGUAACACGUGGGCAACCUGCCCCUAGCACUGGGAUAACUCCGGGAAACCGGGGCUAAUACCGGAUAUGACCUUGGAGGGCAUCCUCCUUGGUGUAAAGGAUUCUGGCUAGGGAUGGGCCCGCGGCCUAUCAGCUUGUUGGUGGGGUAAUGGCCUACCAAGGCGACGACGGGUAGCCGGCCUGAGAGGGCGACCGGCCACACUGGGACUGAGACACGGCCCAGACUCCUACGGGAGGCAGCAGUGGGGAAUAUUGCACAAUGGGCGAAAGCCUGAUGCAGCGACGCGCGUGAGGGAUGACUGCCUUCGGGUUGUAAACCUCUUUCAGCAGGGACGAAGCGAAAGUGACGGUACCUGCAGAAGAAGCACCGGCCAACUACGUGCCAGCAGCCGCGGUAA